UGCUCAGACAGGGGCUUUCCCCAGAGCUAUACUGGGACGCAUUUUCCCCACAGGCACAGAUCCGGGGACAGAAGGAUCUACUCCAGAAGCCUCCAAGUCAAGCCCUGCCAACCCUCGCAGGCCUCCCACAGAAUUCCUGCAGCCACCAGAGGAGCUUUCCCUGUGGGGAAGGGCAGAAACGCAGGGCACGAGCCGAAAAUCCAGACGGAUGGUUUUUUCUCUUUGAACUGGGGCAGCGCUGCCCUACCUCAAGUGGUCUGAGCAUCCCCUCGGGACAUCAAAUCCUGGUUGCUUAAUAUCAGAUGAAGUUUUGAAAGCGAAAGAUAUUUUAGCCUGUGCUUGUCUCUUUGAUGAGCUUACGAAAAUUGUGAAAAUCGGCCUCUUGAUAGCUGCAGAAGAUCCUCCAACCUGUUGCCUCUAUCUCCUAGAAUUCCUUUUUUAAAGCACAUGAUUUAAGGAAAAGCUUUUCAGGUUUGAGGAAAAAAAAAAAAAAAGAAGAAAGAAAAAAAAAAGCCUAUUUUCAGUUUCUUUAUCAUUUCUUGGAUGUUGAGCUGAAGCCCCACGGCUUGGCAAGUGAAACUACGAAGGUGCAUCUGAGCUUCUGCUGGUUUAGGGGGCAGCAAAGGCUCCUCGGCCAGCCCUGUGCUCUGUGGGUCCUUCUCCAGCAGCCGGAAACAUCCCCAUUUCGCUUCCAAGCCCUCUCUCUAACUCACAGCAGGACCCAAGGGGAAAAUACAACCCCAGAAGCAGGUGAGCAGCGGGAAAACGCUCACCCAAGGCAGGCGAGCGGCACCUCGCCCUGCUCUGCCACCAAAAACCCAGGCUGAAAGCUCCAGGUGAUGCCAGCAGCACGAACCGGGGGCUGCCUCCAGAAGUGAUGCCAGAGGCUGCAGCCCCUCCGAGGGAUGCGAUUCCCCCCGAGCUGCAUUUCUGCCAUCAGCGUGGCCCGAUUUUGGAGUGGGAGACAGAAGGGCUCCUGACAUCCAGCAGCUGGGAAGCGCCUUGCUGCAUCCUCCAGGGAUGGACGGAUCCUCUGUGGACACUGCCAGGACCAGAAAACACCUCUGAUUGCUGGCUCUCUUCCCCGGGAGAAGCCAGCAUUGGGCCAAGAGCUCCUCUUUGCUCAUUGCUCAUGGAAGCCUCUGGUUUUGGCAAAAGACAUUGCUCAAGGUGUGCUGACACCCCUCUGACCUCCUCAGGUUGCGCCCAUUGGUACUAGCUGCUCAUUAACACCAAAGGCUAAUUCCCACCCAUUUUUUAAUUAGAUAUUCAACGCUGCGUUGCACAAGGAGCUGGUCAGGUUGUUGCGCAGAAGAGGGGCAGGUUCUGUGCACCACAAACACGGAGCUGAGCAAAGGCAGAGGCUCCCCGUGUGAGCAACAGCCCCUGGCCAGGGAAGCGUUUCCAUCGUGGGCAAGGUUUUCAGCAUGCCUGGAGCUCCUCACAUGCUCCUGUGCUGCAUCAGAGGCGCGGGGAGAGCUCAGCACCACCCUGUGUGUCAUCAAGGUCAGCCUUUGAAAGGGGAGGUUGCCAUGCCACAGAUUUCUCCAGUAAAGGGCUCCCCAGAAGGGCCAUCCCCUGUGUGCCUGCUUGCCAAAGCCCAUAAAUCAUCCCCAGCAGAGCUAAGACUGGCAUCGAGCAUCAGCCAGGCCUUACCGUAAUGCACCACUGAUAUCCGUGCCUUCCUGAGCUGGAGCCACCCCGAGAUGCUCCUGGAACGCUCCCAGGUUUGUGGCUGCCAAGGACUGUGUGUGUGCUGGUUACCAAAAGAGCAGUGUGUGGAUUCCCAGGAAUAAUCCCUUCUUGGCAGGCUUCGUCUGCUGUGAGCCCCGUGGGCUCCCCCCUUGCUCCCCACAUCUCUGCUCAGGGUUCAAGGGAAGCUGUUCAGGGAGAGGAAGAAACUGAGAGAGACAGGGAGCAGAGGGUGACUCUUGUACACGUUGGUGCCCCUCGCACAGGUAUCAAACCAGGACCAGGGGACAAGCACAUCCCGCAGCACCGAGGUGCCACCAGGACCCCAGGGUGCCCGAGCCCAUCGGGGCCGUGGCCUGUGCCUUGCUGCUGCUGUGACAACAUCGAGGACAGAGGCAGGAAAAAGCCCAGAGCCUCUCUUUUGCUAAGCCAGCUUGGUAAAGGGCUCCCUUAUCUUCUCUUUGGUGUGAGAUAAGGUUUCAGUGCUGCCAGAGCAGCUCUGUAUCUCGCAGAUACCUCCCCGUGCUGCGGUGGGUGUCAGGCCUUCAGAAAAUAUUUGGGUAAGACCUGUAUCUUUUUGAAACCCGUGUGCAAUGGAAAGACACACAGGGUGGAUCAGAUCGACGCUGCGUGGUUUUCGGUGUCUUGUUGUUCGAUGUGAGGACAAAAUGGGGUUCCUCAGCUGGAAGGGCCUCUCACUGCAGGUCCCUACACAGCUGCAGAGGGAACGGGGACACGAGUGUCCUGGCUCCCUGCUGGGCUGGGAAAGCUGGGCGCUCUCCCCCUUGCUUCAAAGCCUUGGCGAUACGUGGCCCUUUGAGAGCUGAUCCAGAUAAAUGUUUGUUUUAGUGACCCAGUGAGAGCUGUAUCCUAUUACAACAAGCCACUUUCCUGAACAGCCCUGACAUACGGGCAUGUUUGAACAGCAAUCAUAAUAGCAAAAUAAUUUGUGUCUCUCCAGGGUGAUUUAGUGAGCCGGGAGCCUGCUCUUCCCUUGGUGCUCUGCUGUUCCCUACAGGGGACCUGACUAAAUAGGUUUGGGAAUACCUUCAGAGGCAAUUUAUUUCUAUGAAAUCCUUGUGUAACAUCGCAAGGAAUGACUGGGAGGAAAAGGCUUGUCGUGAGAGCAGAGGACACGGAGUCAAAGCCAUCCCCUUGCAGGUCUGACCAAAGAUCUGGGUGCUGCACCAGAGGCAUCAGCCACAUGAGAUUUGGGUGGUGCAGGGGCUGGACCCUCCUGAUGCCCAAAACCCUCACCCUGGUUCACACAUGGCUAGCUUCAGCAGUCACCAAAAGGGGAAACGUUGCUCUCUCACCACAGCAAAGCUCUUUCCAUGUCACAAAAUGGUGCUGGAUCCUGCAGGGCACCUUCUUCUGGGCUGCUCCGUCCUCCGCCAAAGUCCCGAGGGCCACGAACCCUACUCCCCCCGCCUUUCCCAGUGACUUUCCCCGAUCUUUCCAGACAACAAUGAUUGAAACAUUAAAGCUACCUCAUCGCAGAACAAAACCCUUGCAACUGAUUAAAAUUUUUCUGUGUUAAAAAUACCUGGUGUAUUGAAAAUCGCACUCCAAAGGCCAGUUCUGAUCUCAUUCGUGUGGGACUACGGCCAGGCGAGGUCUCCGUGGGGAAGUCCUGAGGAAUGGACAGGCCUUAAACCAACGGUGGUCUGCAGAAGUUAUAAAGAUAAAUACCAUGUACCCGUAUAGAACUCGAUCUCUUUUUUUAUAAAAUUAAUGAAAUGUGUAAGAGAAGCUGCCUCCCUGUUAGUGGAUCUAAUACCUUGGCUUGGAAGUCCUCCCCAGGAAACAUAGAUGUCUUUCUGCUGACUUCACUGGAUGUCAGCAACAUAAUAGAGAAGUGGAAUUCAGCCUAAAAGCCAGACAGUGAAUGCAGAAGUCAAGACUUCGGGAAAAGAUAUAAAAAAAGAACUGUUGAUAUGCCUCUUCUCCGACACGUCCCGUCCUAUCAAAAUGGCCACUGCCUUUAUUUUGUUUAAUCACUUAUCUCCACGGAGGGAAGAGGAAAUUCCCAAGAACGCAUGAUCGUUAAAAAUAUUAGCCAGGCCUGGUGAUUAUUUUUGGUAGCUGAAAACUUCCUGGCCGAAGGGUUUGGGUUUGCAUUGGACUCCAGCGAAUGUUUUAGAGCAACUUUCAUAAAUACCCAUUAUGCUCGCAUCGCCGUGCAGUUUACAAUUCAGCUGGGAAGGGCGGGUGUGUGUUUCUCUUUCUUUGUUUUGCGGUGCAGCAUGGUAAAGUGCACAGCGCUCGGCCGAAUUAGGGCUUAGCUAUUUUCUUGUAUCCUUAAAUAAAGGACCGGUUCACACAGUC